rnacentral:rRNA from 1 species
UACAGAGGUCUCAAGCGUUGUUCGGAUUCAUUGGGCGUAAAGGGCGCGUAGGCGGUCAGCACAAGUCAGUUGUGAAAUCUCCGGGCUUAACUCGGAAAGGUCAACUGAUACUGUGCGACUAGAGUGCAGAAGGGGCAACUGGAAUUCUCGGUGUAGCGGUGAAAUGCGCAGAUAUCGGGAGGAACACCUGUGGCGAAAGCGGCGCACUGGACCACAACUGACGCUGGAGGCGCGAAAGCUAGGGGAGCAAACAGG